rnacentral:piRNA from 1 species
UAUGGUAGAAAUAUUCCGACU